UACGUAGGGUGCGAGCGUUGUCCGGAUUUAUUGGGCGUAAAGAGCUCGUAGGCGGUUUGUCGCGUCGUUCGUGAAAUCUCCACGCUUAACGUGGAGCGUGCGGUCGAUACGGGCAGACUUGAGUUCGGUAGGGGAGACUGGAAUUCCUGGUGUAGCGGUGAAAUGCGCAGAUAUCAGGAGGAACACCGGUGGCGAAGGCGGGUCCCUGGGCCGAUACUGACGCUGAGGAGCGAAAGCGUGGGGAGCGAACAGG
rnacentral:rRNA from 1 species